rnacentral:lncRNA from 1 species
CCACCUCGCCCUUCCCAGUGAAAGUGAGCAGAGGGAGGGCUGCACGUAGUGAUGAGAUAAUGACAGCCAAAAAUCCCUGACAGAGAUCAGCCUGUGCUGGGAAGAAUGACUGAGGAUGCUCUUUUGGGAUCUUCCUAAAGCUGAUGAAGACUCAGAGAUGCCUCUUCUAAGCUCUUUCUUAGGAGAAGCAUCUGUGGAUACAGCUCACCUGUUUCAGCAGAGGGAUCUUUCUGACUGAACCUGUGCACUAUGUGAAGAGAGACACAGAGCAGCUACAUAUUCCACAUUCUUCAGGUGAGCUGUGAAGCCCUGGCCACUGUGGGCAUUAAUUAAGCAAAUCACCUCUCAUUAGCAGAGGAUUUUAGAAGUUUUCAAAGUCUGGCAACUGCUGGAGUGCUCAGCAUCC